GUUAUUUGGGGCCGAUAAAUAUUAAUAAAUUCAGAAUAAUUCUAAAUCCUUAGGCCCCUCCAAAUAUUUAUGUUUAUAGUUUUUUAAAAGUAUCAAAAGUUUUUUUUAGCUUGGAAAAUUAAGUAUUAUUUUAAAUUAAAUGUAAAAUUUUUUUAAAGAAUUAUUAGCAAUAAUUAGUUUUAUUAAUUUAAGAAAUUAAGAAUUAGUGAUAAUAUUAAAUAUAAACAAAAUUUGUGCCAGCAGUUGCGGUUAUACAAAUUAUAUAAAUUAAUAUUUUUAAUUUUAAUAAAUUUGAAAUUUAUAUAAUUAUAUAAUAAAAUUUAUUAGGUGAAAUUUUAAAUUUUUAUUUAAAUUAAUUAAAGAUAGUGAUGUAAAAAAGUUUUUUUAUAAACUAGGAUUAGAUACCCUAUUAUUAUUAAUGUAAUUAAUAAAAUUAAAUUAGUAUUAGUUAUGUUCUUUAAAAUUAAAAAAUUUGGCGGUAUUUUAGUCUUUUCAGAGGAACCUGUCCUAUAAAUGAUAGUCCACGAUUUAAUUUACUUUUUUUUUUAGUUUACAUAUCGUCGUAAUUUAAAUAUUUUUUAAGAAUUUAAAUAUUUAAUAUUUUUAAUAAAAAAUUAAAUCAGAUCAAGGUGUAGUUUAUAGAAAAGUAGAAAUGGGUUACAUUUAAUUUAUUUAAGGCUUAUUAUUAUUAUAGUAUUAUAAAUGUGGAUUUGAAAGUAAUAUUAUUUAAUUUAAUAGUAUGAUUUUAGCUCUAAAAUAUGCACAUAUUGCCCGUCGCUUUCAUUUAAUAUGAAAUAAGUCGUAACAAAGUAGAUUUACUGGAAAGUGAAUCUAGAUUCAA
rnacentral:ncRNA from 1 species